UGGGGAAUAUUGGACAAUGGGCGCAAGCCUGAUCCAGCAAUGCCGCGUGUGUGAAGAAGGCCUUCGGGUUGUAAAGCACUUUUAUCAGGAGCGAAACGCUGUCGGCUAAUACCCGGCGGAACUGACGGUACCUGAGGAAUAAGCACCGGCUAACUUCGUGCCAGCAGCCGCGGUAAUACGAAGGGUGCAAGCGUUAAUCGGAAUUACUGGGCGUAAAGCGUGCGUAGGCGGUUUCUUAAGUCUGCUGUGAAAUCCCCGGGCUCAACCUGGGAAUGGCAGUGGAUACUGGGAGGCUAGAGUGUGUCAGAGGGUGGUGGAAUUCCCGGUGUAGCGGUGAAAUGCGUAGAGAUCGGGAGGAACAUCAGUGGCGAANNGCGGCCACCUGGGACAACACUGACGCUGAGGCACGAAAGCGUGGGGAGCAAACAGGAUUAGAUACCCUGGUAGUCCACGCCCUAAACGAUGCGAACUGGAUGUUGGUCUCAACUCGGAGAUCAGUGUCGAAGCUAACGCGUUAAGUUCGCCGCCUGGGGAGUACGGUCGCAAGACUGAAACUUAAAUGAAUUGACGGGGUCAUAGCUGUUUCCU
rnacentral:rRNA from 1 species